rnacentral:rRNA from 1 species
UACGGAGGGGGCUAGCGUUGUUCGGAAUUACUGGGCGUAAAGCGCGCGUAGGCGGCUUUGUAAGUUAGAGGUGAAAGCCCGGAGCUUAACUCCGGAACUGCCUUUAAGACUGCAUCGCUAGAAUCGUGGAGAGGUGAGUGGAAUUCCGAGUGUAGAGGUGAAAUUCGUAGAUAUUCGGAAGAACACCAGUGGCGAAGGCGGCUCACUGGACGACUGUUGACGCUGAGGUGGCGAAAGCGUGGGGAGCAAACAGG